rnacentral:rRNA from 1 species
AUUGAACGCUGGCGGCAGGCCUAACACAUGCAAGUCGAGCGGAGAAACGGGGGUCGCUCUGGUGUUCAGUGGCGGACGGGUGAGUAAUGCCUAGGAACAUGCCCGGUAGUGGGGGCUAAGGUAGCGAAAGGGACGCUAAUCCCGCAUACGAUCUGAGGAUGAAAGGGGGGGAUCUUCGGACCUCGCGCGAUCGGAUGGGCCUAGGUCGGAUUAGCUAGUUGGUGGGGUAAAGGCCUACCAAGCCGACGAUCCGUAGCUGGUCUGAGAGGAUGACCAGCCACACUGGAACUGAGACACGGUCCAGACUCCUACGGGAGGCAGCAGUGGGGAAUAUUGGACAAUGGGCGAAAGCCUGAUCCAGCCAUGCCGCGUGUGUGAUGAAGGUCUUCGGAUUGUAAAGCACUUUUAUUUGGGAGGAAGAGAAGUUAGUUAAUACCUUGCUGUCUUGACGUUACCAAAAGAAUAAGCACCGGCUAACUACGUG